AUUGAACGCUGGCGGCAGGCCUAACACAUGCAAGUCGAACGAGUGGCGGACGGGUGAGUAAUGUCUGGGAAACUGCCCGAUGGAGGGGGAUAACUACUGGAAACGGUAGCUAAUACCGCAUACCAUCGGAUGUGCCCCGAUGGGAUUAGCUAGUAGGUGGGGUAACGGCUCACCUAGGCGACGAUCCCUAUCUGGUCUGAGAGAAUGACCAGCAACACCGGAACGGAGACACGGUCCAGACUCCUACGGAGGGCAGCAGUGGGGAAUAUUGCACAAUGGGCGCAAGCCUGAUGCAGCCAUGCGGCGUGUAUGAAGAGGGCCUUCGGGUGGUAAGGUACUUUCAGCCGGGAGGCGUUACCCGCAGAAGAAGCACCGGCUAACUCCGUGCCAGCAGCCGCGGUAAGAC
rnacentral:rRNA from 1 species